UGGGGAAUAUUGCACAAUGGGCGAAAGCCUGAUGCAGCAACGCCGCGUGAGUGAUGAAGGCCUUCGGGUUGUAGAGCUCUGUCUUUUGGGACGAUAAUGACGGUACCAAAGGAGGAAGCCACGGCUAACUACGUGCCAGCAGCCGCGGUAAUACGUAGGUGGCAAGCGUUGUCCGGAUUUACUGGGCGUAAAGGAUGCGUAGGCGGAUUUUUAAGUGAGAUGUGAAAUACCCGGGCUUAACUUGGGUGCUGCAUUUCAAACUGGGAAUCUAGAGUGCGGGAGAGGAGAAUGGAAUUCCUAGUGUAGCGGUGAAAUGCGUAGAGAUUAGGAAGAACACCAGUGGCGAAGGCGAUUCUCUGGACCGUAACUGACGCUGAGGCAUGAAAGCGUGGGUAGCAAACAGGAUUAGAUACCCUGGUAGUCCACGCCGUAAACGAUGAGUACUAGGUGUAGGAGGUAUCGACCCCUUCUGUGCCGCAGUUAACACAAUAAGUACUCCGCCUGGGAAGUACGAUCGCAAGAUUAAAAACUU
rnacentral:rRNA from 1 species